rnacentral:rRNA from 1 species
CCCCCCGAAUUGUAGUCUAGAAAGGCGCCAUCGGCCGCGUCCGCCGCUCAAAUCCCUUGGAACGGGGUAUCGGAGAAGGUGAGAAUCCUGUGCCGUGGCGGUUCGCGGUCGCACGAUGCGUCCUUGCAGAGUCGGGUUGCUUGGGAUUGCAGCUUGAAUUGGGUGGUAAAUUCCAUCUAAAGCUAAAUACUGGCGAGAGACCGAUAGCGAACAAGUACCGUGAGGGAAAGAUGCAAAGAACUUUGAAAAGAGAGUUAAAGAGUGCUUGAAAUCGGCGAGAGGAAACCCGUUUGUGCCCGGUGUCGCGUCUCCGAAUCAGCCGUCUUGAAGCGGUGCCUUUUGGUGGCGCGGGUUCGCUGCGACUGUUGCUGCGUGAGAAACUCCGGGGGGGCUUCGGUGAGCCCGGUCAUAGCGCGGCGGCGGUCUUGGCGGACGGAACGGGCACAACCGACCCGUCUAGAAACACGGACCAAGGAGUCUGACACGGAUGCGAGUACCCGGGUGGCAAACCCGCGUGCGCAAUGAAAGUGAAGGGCGUGCCCCGCCAACCGACCUUGAUCUUCUGUGAAGGGUUUGAGUCGAGCAUCACUGUCGGGACCCGAAAGAUGGUGAACUAUGCCUGAGCAGGGCGAAGCCAGGGGAAACUCUGGUGGAGGCUCGCAGCGAUACUGACGUGCAAAUCGUUCGUCAAACUUGGGUAUAGGGGCGAAAGACUAAUCGAACCAUCUAGUAGCUGGUUCCCUCCGAAGUUUCCCUCAGGAUAGCUGGAACUUGUCGAGUUUUAU